GACGAACGCUGGCGGCGUGCUUAACACAUGCAAGUCGAACGGAAAGGCCCUUUUCGGGGGGUGCUCGAGUGGCGAACGGGUGAGUAACACGUGAGUAAUCUGCCCCUGACUUUGGGAUAACUUCAGGAAACUGGGGCUAAUACUGGAUAGGAGCAUCCGCUGGAUGGUGGGGGUUGGAAAGUUUUGGCGGUUGGGGAUGGACUCGCGGCCUAUCAGCUUGUUGGUGGGGUAGUGGCUUACCAAGGCGUUGACGGGUAGCCGGCCUGAGAGGGUGACCGGCCAUAUUGGGGCUGAUAUACGGCCCAGACUCACGCGGGGGGCAGCAGUGGGGAAUAGUGCACAAUGGGUGGGAGCCUGAUGCAGCAGCGGCGUGGGCGGGGUGACGGCCUUCGGUUUGAAAACCGCUUUGGCUCAUGGCGGAGCUUGGGGUGACGGUAGUGGGUAAAGAAGCACCGGCUAACUACGUG
rnacentral:rRNA from 1 species